AUUGAACGCUGGCGGCAGGCUUAACGCAUGCAAGUCGAGCGGAGAUGAGGUGCUUGCACCUUAUCUUAGCGGCGGACGGGUGAGUAAUGCUUAGGAAUCUGCCUAUUAGUGGGGGACAACAUCUCGAAAGGGAUGCUAAUACCGCAUACGUCCUACGGGAGAAAGCAGGGGAUCACUUGUGACCUUGCGCUAAUAGAGGAGCCUAAGUCGGAUUAGCUAGGUGGUUGGGUAAAGGCCUAACAAGGCGACGAUCUGUAGCGGGUCGGAGAGGAUGAUCCGCCACACUGGGACUGAGACACGGCCCAGACUCCUACGGGAGGCAGCAGUGGGGAAUAUUGGACAAUGGGGGGAACCCUGAUCCAGCCAUGCCGCGUGUGUGAAGAAGGCCUUAUGGUUGUAAAGCACUUUAAGCGAGGAGGAGGCUCUUUUGGUUAAUACCCAAGAUGAGUGGACGUUACUCGCAGAAUAAGCACCGGCUAACUCUGUGCCAGCCGCCGCGGUAA
rnacentral:rRNA from 1 species